UGUAGCUCAAAUUAUCGUCAACAACACAGACGUCAUUACUUCAGUGUUUCCACAAAUAAACUUUACAGACUGUCCAAUACCAGAUGAGGUGCCUUGUUCAGAUGCUGUUACCAGGAAUAGUGAAAUGUUGGGUUGUUUAACUUUUAUGGGGAGUUUGAAUUAUACCGUUCUGAAUCUAACAGAUACCUGUCUAUUAUACGUUGGAGGGUUGACGUGUAUGAGUAGAUAUCUAUCAUACAAAGGGAUACAAUGUUCACCAAAUAGUCUAAGUGCAGAAGUAGCUAAUAAUCUAUUGAAGAACAAUCUGACAACAAUGAACUUCAGUGUUUGUGAAGAUCAACUUGCGAAAUCAUCAAAUGCUAAUAUGUCUAUAUGUCAUAACGAUUAUGUCAUGUUGAAAUAUAUCCAAUCAGCAGCUUGUCUAAAGUCGGCUUCCAUACCACCCAAUUCAAACAAAGAAAUGACCUGUCAGUUUAUGAGCUUUGUAGUUGAUUGUGCUAUCAAUAGUUUAAAAUCGUCCAUGAUUUCUUGUUCUGGAAGACAUGUAACCCAAAUUCUGAUAAACAACGCACCUGCCAUAACAUCACUGUAUCCAUCAUUAAACUUCACAAACUGUCGAAUAACAGAUAAUACAACAAUGCCAUCCAUGACGACGCCAUCUUAUCCCACUACCUGUACGUGGGAUAUGAUCACCUCUUUGGCUGGCCAAUAUUGUGCAGAAACCAUCUCGGCCUUUAAUACCACGACUCGGGAUA